rnacentral:misc_RNA from 1 species
UACGUAGGCAGCAAGCGUUGUUCGGAAUUACUGGGCGUAAAGCGAGUGUAGGCGGUCGGCCAAGUCCGUUGUGAAAUCUCCCGGCUCAACUGGGAGGGUGCGACGGAUACUGGUCGGCUAGAGUGCGGGAGAGGAGAGUGGAAUUCCUGGUGUAGCGGUGAGAUGCGUAGAUAUCAGGAGGAACACCGGUGGUGAAGACGGCUCUCUGGACCGCCACUGACGCUGAGACUCGAAAGCUCGGGUCACGAACCGG